AUUGAACGCUGGCGGCAGGCCUAACACAUGCAAGUCGAACGAGUGGCGGACGGGUGAGUAAUGCCUGGGAAACUGGCUUAUGGAGGGGGAUAACUACGGGAAACUGUAGCUAAUACCGCAUACCAUCGGAUGAGCCCAAGUGGGAUUAGGUAGUUGGUGGGGUAAAGGCUCACCAAGCCGACGAUCCCUAGCUGGUCUGAGAGGAGGACCAGCCACACUGGGACUGAGACACGGCCCAGACUCCUACGGGAGGCAGCAGUGGGGAAUAUUGCGCAAUGGGGGAAACCUGACGGAGCCAUGCCGCGUGAAUGAAGAAGGCCUUCGGGUUGUAAAGUUCUGUCGGUAGGGAGGCGUUAACUAAUGAGGAAGCACCGGCUAACUCCGUGCCAGCAGCCGCGGUAAUUC
rnacentral:rRNA from 1 species